UAGGGUUUAGGAUUUGGAUUAGGGUUUGAUUUAGGAUUUAGGUUUUGGUUAGGGUUUGGUUAGGAUUUGAUUUAGGAUUUGGUUGGAGUUUGGUUUAAGGUUAGUUUAGGAUUUGAUUUAGGAUUUGGUUUAGAAUUUGGUUAGGAUUUUAUUUAGGGUUUGGAUUAGAGUUUGGUUUAGGAUUUAGGAUUUGGAUUAGGAUUUGGUUAGGAUUUGAUUUAAGGUUAGGAUUUGGUUUAAGCUUUAGGAUUUGGAUUAGGAUUUGGUUUAGGAUUUGGUUAGGGUUUGAUUUAGGAUUUGGUUAGGGUUUGAUUUAGGAUUUAAAAUUUGAAUUAGGAUUUGAUUUAGGAUUUAGGAUUUGGAUUAGGAUUUGGUUUAGGAUUUGGUUAGGAUUUUAUUUAGGGUUUGGAUUAGGAUUUGAUUUAGGGUUUAGGAUUUGGAUUAGAAUUUGGUUAGGAUUUGAUUUAGAAUUUGGUUAGGAUUUGAUUAGAAUUUGGUUUAAGGUUUAGGAUUUGGAUUAGAAUUUGGUUAGGAUUUGAUUUAGAAUUUGGUUAGGAUUUGAUUAGAAUUUGGUUUAAGGUUUGUUUAGGGUUUGAUUUAGGGUUUAAGAUUUUAUUAGGAUUUAAGAUUUAAUUAGGUUUGGCCUAAAGUUUGAAUGAAGUUCAAUAGGAUUUUAACUAGAAUUAAAUUAAGAUUGAAUUGAGAUGUAUUUGAGUGAUAUUUGUGAUCUUUCUAAUAUUUCUUUAAGAAUUCUUAUUAUUUGUUUGAAAUUUCUUGAGAUUUUUUUGAAUUUGAUUAAGCUUGUUUAGCAUUAUUAUGGUCUUAUUAGAGCAUUGUUAGUAUUCUAUUAGAAUUAGCACUUUGUUAUUGCAAUUUCCAUUCUUCUUUCUAUAGCUAGGUGCCCAGAGCAUUCUCAAGCAAGACCUCACGUAUUACGACAAUGGUCUUCAUAUGUUGAGGAAGUCCAAGAUGUGGCAAAUUGUAUUUGCUAAAUAUUCCAAUCUUUUCUUUCUUUGAAGAUGGUUGAUAGGUCCUCUCAACCAUCUAUAGUUUUCCAUAUUAGGGUGAGAAGACCACUGAUAAGAGCAUUGUUAGUAUUCUAUUAGAAUUAGGAUUUUGUUAUUGCAAUUUCCAUUCUUUUUUCUACAACCAAGUGCCCGGAGCAUUCUC
rnacentral:lncRNA from 1 species